CAGCUCUCCAGCCCUAUAUCCUGUGUUUUCUGGUUUGUAGGACAUAUUUCAUCUGACCAGGCUGAGCGAAAGAGGGAACUUCACAUAAUACAGUUGGUGCUAUUUUAAAUUUUUUCAUCACACCUAAUUAUUUAUUGUGCACACAUGUGCCAUGGUGCUCCCCUGGAGGUCAGAAGACAACUUUCAAGGGUACCAGGCUUUUUCUUUUGGACCACCAACCAGCUCCUAAAUCAUGACACAGAGACUUACUAUUUUGAAUGCUCAGUCUUAGCUUAGCUCCUUUCUUGCUCUUAUAACUUAACCUGUUUCUCUUCAUCCACAUUUUACCUCAGGGCUUUUUGCCUUUCUUACUUCUGUGUAUCUUUCUUUCACUGCUUCUCUGUGUCUGGCUGGCUGGCAUCUGUCUGGCUUCUUGUCACAGGCGUGUCCCUCAUUCUCUCCUCCUCCUUCUCUCGUUCUUCUUUCUUCUCCCGCCUAGAUUUCUCCUCCUAUUUAUUCUCUCUGCCCAGCAGCCCCGCCUAUCCCUCUCCUGCCUCCUAUUGGCCAUUCAGCUUUUUAUUGGACCAAUCAGGUGCCUUAGGCAGGCAAGGUGAAAUAAAUGCAACAUAUCUUUACAUAGUUAAACACACAUCCUUUCAUCAUUAGACAAGUGCAGCAUAAGCAAAAGUAACACACCUUUGCACUGUUCAGAUAACAUUCUGCAGGGCUGGAGAGAUGGCUCAGAGGUUAAGAGCACUGACUGCUCUUCCAGAGGUCCUGAGUUCAAUUCCCAGCAACCACAUGGUGGCUCACAACCAUCCGUUAUGAGAUCUGGUGCCCUCUUCUGGUGUGCAGAUAGACAUGGAAGCAGAAUGUUGUAUACAUAAUAAAUAAAAUCUUAAAAAAAAAAAAAAAAAGAAUGUGUGGUCUUCUUCAAGAGGACCUGAAUUUGGUUCUGAGAACCCAUGUCAGGCAACUUACAACCACUGUUACUGUGGCUUCAGGGGGAUCUGACAUCUCUGGCCUCCUCAGGUACUCACACAUAAACACACACACACACACACACACACACACACACACACACACACACAGAG
rnacentral:lncRNA from 1 species